GCAGAGCCAGGUGGAUCUCUGUGAGUUCGAGGCCAGCCUGGUCUACAGAGUGAGAUCCAGGACAGGCUCCAAAGCUACAGAGAAACCCUGUCUGGAAAAACCCACACACACACACAAAAGAUUAGACUAAGAUAAGAGAACCUAGCUCAGAGGUUAAAAGCACUGGCUGUUCUUCCAGAGGUCCUGAGUUCAAUUCCCAGCAACCACAUGGUGGCUCACAACCAUCUGUAAUGAGACCUGGCUCCUUCUUCUGGCUUGAAGGGAUAUGCACAAGCAGAACACUGUAUAUAUAAUAAAUAAAU